rnacentral:lncRNA from 1 species
CAUGUACUGGGGCCAAGCAGUCGGGGUUGAGAGUCUUGAGCUGCCUGCAGAAAGUGUCCAGGAAGUUUGAGAAGAUGCAAGCAAAGCGUCAUGGUGAAAAGGUUAUUGCAGGCAUUUUAGAGAUCUCUUUUGGCUUCACCCCAUGUCAACAAAAGGAGGCCUAUGUGAUUAACACAUAAAUAAAAGUACCAGCUGCAAGAACCCACAAGAAGGAUAUUUUAAAUUCUGAUUUCAGCAAACAGAGAGACACCUUAAAGUUUAAGUGUGCGAGCAGAAGACAUCACCGAGGAAAGCAUGUUUAAAGUGGAAUGAUACAUUAACAUGGACAACAAAAUCCUUAAUAUUCAGUCCAGACUGAAAUGUGUAAUGAAAAUAGUUGGAUAUUAAAGAAUUCAAGAGUGAGCAGUAUCAGCAAGGAGGAUCUCGUCCUUAUUAUUGAAGUAAGGUAAAUGUGUUUUUCUAUCAUAGUAAAUGAACGUUAAGCAAAGCAGAGAAAACAAUUGAUGAUCCACUGCAGCCAGCAAAAGGGUUCAGGAGUUCAAGACCAGCCUGGCCAACAUGGUGAAACCCCAUCUCUACUA